rnacentral:rRNA from 1 species
GACGAACGCUGGCGGCGUGCUUAACACAUGCAAGUCGAACGAAGUGGCGAACGGGUGAGUAACGCGUAAUCAACUUGCCCUUCAGAGGGGGACAACAGUUGGAAACGACUGCUAAUACCGCAUACUGAAGGAGGGGAUUGGGUCUGAUUGGCUAGUUGGGGGGGUAACGGCCAACCAAGGCGAUGAUCAGUAGCCGGUCGGAGAGGAUGAACGGCCACAUUGGGACUGAGACACGGCCCAGACUCCUACGGGAGGCAGCAGUGGGGAAUCUUCCGCAAUGGACGAAAGUCUGACCGAGCAACGCCGCGUGAGUGAAGAAGGUUUUCGGAUCGUAAAACUCUGUUGUUAGAGAAGCGGUAUCUAACCAGAAAGCAACGGCUAACUACGUGCCAGCAGCCGCGGUAAUUC